AUUUUGUCAUAAUAUUAAUGAACUGAUAUUAUUUAUUUAUUUAAUUUGGGUAUUUAUUUAUUUAUUUAUUAUAUAAUUUGGAAGCUGGUGGUCACAAUCAUUAUAUGGCGGCGCUGCAAACAAACUGCAAAAUUUCAUUGUCAUUGUUAACAUCUGUCAUAGCACCUGUUCUGUGUUUAGGGAGCAUGAACAUUUUAGGUUUUUGUACAGCAGCACAGUAGGUCUGUGUCACUGUGUUUACUCACUGCACAGAAAUACACACCACUGUCAUCGGGCUGCAGCUUCUUCACUGUGAAAGACCCUUUAUCAGCUACAGUCUUUUCAGCUGAGUAUUUAUCAACAGAAAAUUCACCAAAGUCUGGCUUGCUGCCUAGCAUUGUGAAAGCAAUGAGUCUCAUUGUUUCUCCCUUUCGUUGUUGAAACCAAUACAUGUAGUUAUAGCCUACACCCAUAGUAUGACUGCAGUUCAUUUGUGCAGAUUCACCCUGUGAAACCCAUAAUACUGGUGUCUGUGUAACAUCACUGGAUUCUGCAAAAGAAUAGUAAAAUGAGUUGUAUUUGUUUUACAAUCAAGCCCAAAACAAUAAUAUACAGUAUGGUCUUAAAGAUAUCCUACCUGAAAAAUGCUGCAGAAUUAUCAGUUUGAUGAUUAUUAGUAUAAUCAUGUUAGUUCUUUGGCUUCACUAGACUAUAUGACAUAAAUGCAGAAGGAAACUGUGAAAGUUUUAAUGGGGAAGCACAUGAUGUGACAUCACUAUGACAUCACUUUGUCCCUUUAUAGUGUUUUUGUAGGAUAGAUUAAGAUGUCUUCAGUCUAGAAAUACUGCCACGCACAGUGUUGAAAUGAUUGUAGAAAUGAUUGUAGAAUACUAGAUCUAGACAGGUGGAGCUGGGGGAGGAGGACAGUUUGCAGAGGAAAUAUGAUAGCGAACUUCAGGAUCACAUUAUAGCGAACAUUGAACCAGACUAUUUAAAUGUUGAGUAAGCAAUCUCAUUGGUUGCAGAAUCAGGGGAGGCCAAUCAGUUUGUGCCAUGCAAUAUAUGAUGUGAUCAGAUUAACUGAGAUACAGAUAGGUGAGUUUGAUCAGGGUUGGAGCUAAACUCUGCAGGAAAGUGGACCUCAGGGGCCAGAGUUGAGAACCCCUGAUGUUAAGCGAUGUCUGCUCCAUCCAGAGUUUCAUGACUGAACUAUACAUAUAGUAUAAUGGAACUAUAUUAGUGUAAAGGGAGUUG
ensembl:lncRNA